GUCCCAGUUCGGACUGCAGCCUGCAACCCGGCUGCACGAAGCCGGAAUCGCUAGUAAUCGCAGAUCAGCAUGCUGCGGUGAAUACGUUCCCGGGUCUUGUACACACCGCCCGUCACACCAUGGGAGUCGGAAAUGCCCGAAGCCAGUGGCCCAACCGGAAGGAGGGAGCUGCCGAAGGUGGAGCCGGUAACUGGGGUGAAGUCGUAACAAGGUAAC
rnacentral:rRNA from 1 species